UACAGGGGGUGCAAACGUUGCUCGGAAUCAUUGGGCGUAAAGCGCACGUAGGCGGUUCGUUAUGUCGGAUGUGAAAGCCCUUGGCUUAACCGAGGAAGUGCAUCCGAAACUGGCGAGCUAGAGUACUAAAGAGGAUCGCGGAAUUCCCGGUGUAGAGGUGAAAUUCGUAGAUAUCGGGAGGAACACCAAUGGCGAAGGCAGCUCGCUGGGACGGUACUGACGCUGAGGCACGAAAGUGUGGGGAGCAAACAGG
rnacentral:rRNA from 1 species